AGCACCUUUAAAUCAGUCCCGUGAGGCUGGCAAGGUAACGUGAACGAGGUUUGCGUAGGGUUCCUCUAACUGUGUGCGGCACAGUUAUGGUUUCUUUCUGCACACCUUUGGACAGUCGCGACAGUAGGUUCGCGGCUAGAGAACUCCUUGCCUGGAAUGGGCGAGGAGUUUUUUUAU
rfam:Paenibacillus yonginensis strain DCY84 chromosome, complete genome.